rnacentral:rRNA from 1 species
GACGAACGCUGGCGGCGUGCUUAACACAUGCAAGUCGAACGGAAAGGCCCUGCUUUUGUGGGGUGCUCGAGUGGCGAACGGGUGAGUAACACGUGAGUAACCUGCCCUUGACUUUGGGAUAACUUCAGGAAACUGGGACUAAUACCGGAUAGGAGCUCCUGCUGCAUGGUGGGGGUUGGAAAGUUUCGGCGGUUGGGGAUGGACUCGCGGCUUAUCAGCUUGUUGGUGGGGUAGUGGCUUACAAAGGCUUUGACGGGUAGCCGGCCUGAGAGGGUGAACGGCCACAUUGGGACUGAGAUACGGCCCAGACUCCUACGGGAGGCAGAAGUGGGGAAUAUUGCACAAUGGGCGGAAGCCUGAUGCAGCAACGCCGCGUGCGGGAUGACGGCCUUCGGGUUGUAAACCGCUUUCGCCUGUGACGAAGCGUGAGUGACGGUAAUGGGUAAAGAAGCACCGGCUAACUACGUG